AGCGAACGCUGGCGGCAUGCCUAACACAUGCAAGUCGAACGAGACCUUCGGGUCUAGUGGCGCACGGGUGCGUAACGCGUGGGAAUCUGCCCUUGGGUUCGGGAUAACAGUUGGAAACGACUGCUAAUACCGGAUGAUGACUUUGGUCCAAAGAUUUAUCGCCCAGGGAUGAGCCCGCGUAGGAUUAGCUUGGUGGUGAGGUAAGAGCUCACCAAGGCGACGAUCCUUAGCUGGUCUGAGAGGAUGAUCAGCCACACUGGGACUGAGACACGGCCCAGACUCCUACGGGAGGCAGCAGUGGGGAAUAUUGGACAAUGGGCGAAAGCCUGAUCCAGCAAUGCCGCGUGAGUGAUGAAGGCCUUAGGGUUGUAAAGCUCUUUUACCCGGGAUGAUAAUGACAGUACCGGGAGAAUAAGCCCCGGCUAACUCCGUGCCAGCCGCCGCAGUAAUAC
rnacentral:rRNA from 1 species